UCUCGAACCGCUCGCGUGCUGCAUGUGAGCGCGAUUUCUGUUGUAGGAUGCCCAUUACAGGUCUCUCCCAUCCUUACUCCUAGGCCUGCACGCAUGGCUUGACACUGUGCCUUGCGUUGAUGACAUCAGCUCGCCACUCAGCAAGUGAAGGGUCGUCAUCGUCUAAGGCACUCGUGGCACGCGAUUCGUGACGUCACCGGAACUUUCUUCAGCAACUCAAAUCACGCGCAGGAAGUUGCAAACGUCUCGUUAGGGGCGUCUUCUCGGCACUGCACUAGCGCAUAGUGGAGAAGCCUCAUUGCAGGACGUCGAAGCGGUCGUAUGUACUUCAAGACCCAGCGACUCGUCGGCGACGGAAGAGGAC